rnacentral:rRNA from 1 species
UACAGAGGUCCCAAGCGUUGUCCGGAUUUAUUGGGCGUAAAGAGCGUGUAGGCGGCCAUGUAGGUCCGUUGUGAAAACUCGAGGCUCAACCUCGAGACGCCGAUGGAAACCAUGUGGCUAGAGUCCGGAAGAGGAGUGUGGAAUUCCUGGUGUAGCGGUGAAAUGCGCAGAUAUCAGGAGGAACACCAAUGGCGAAGGCAGCACUCUGGGACGUGACUGACGCCUGAGACGCGAAAAGCGUGGGGAGCAAACAGG